rnacentral:rRNA from 1 species
GUGCAGUCGACGGUGAAGAGAGCUUGCUCUCUGGAUCAGUGGCGAACGGGUGAGAACACGGGGAGCAACCUGCCCCGGACUCUGGGAUAACAGCUGGAAACAGCUGCUAAUACCGGAUACGAGCUGCGAAGGCAUCUUCAGCAGCUGGAAAGAAUUUCGGUCCGGGAUGGGCUCGCGGCCUAUCAGCUAGUUGGUGAGGUAAUGGCUCACCAAGGCGUCGACGGGUAGCCGGCCUGAGAGGGUGACCGGCCACACUGGGACUGAGACACGGCCCAGACUCCUACGGGAGGCAGCAGUGGGGAAUAUUGCACAAUGGGCGAAAGCCUGAUGCAGCAACGCCGCGUGAGGGAUGACGGCCUUCGGGUUGUAAACCUCUUUUAGCAGGGAAGAAGCGAAAGUGACGGUACCUGCAGAAAAAGCGCCGGCUAACUACGUGCCAGCAGCCGCGGUAAUACGUAGGGCGCAAGCGUUAUCCGGAAUUAUUGGGCGUAAAGAGCUCGUAGGCGGUUUGUCGCGUCUGCUGUGAAAACCCGAGGCUCAACCUCGGGCCUGCAGUGGGGUACGGGGCAGACUAGAGUGCGGGUAGGGGGAGAUUGGGAAUUCCUGGUGUAGCGGUGGAAUGCGCAGAUAUCAGGAGGAACACCGAUGGCGAAGGCAGAUCUCUGGGGCCGUAACUGACGCUGGGGAGCGAAAGGGUGGGGGAGCCAAACAGGCUUAGAUACCCUGGUAGUCCACCCCGGUAAACGUUGGGAACUAGUUGUGGGGGUCCCAUUCCACGGAUUCCGUGGACGGCAACCUGAGGCAUAAAGGUUCC